rnacentral:rRNA from 1 species
GAUCCUUGCUCAAGAUGAACGCUGGCGGCGUGCUUUACACAUGCAAGUCGAACGGAAAGGCCUUGUGCUGCCAAGUACUCGAGUGGCGAACGGGUGAGUAACACGUGGGUGAUUUGCCUGCACUGUGGGAUAAACCUGGGAAACUGGGUCUUAUUCCAUAUAAGACCGCCCUUUGGAUGGUGUGGUGGAAAGCUUUUGCCGUGUGGGAUGAAGCCUGCCGCCUAUCAGCUUGUUGGUGGGGUAAUGGCCUACCAAGGCGGCGACGGGUAUCCGGCCUGAGAGGGUGUACGGACACAUUGGGACUGAGAUACGGCCCAGACUCCUACGGGAGGCAGCAGUGGGGAAUAUUGCAC